UGGCCAUUGAUUCAUGAUUAGAGAAAAGAUACAUUUUGUUUCUUUAUGGUUUUUGUAAAUUAUUUUAUUUUUAUAUUGAUUUUAUUACCUAUAGUAACAGCCAUGGGGUUAUUUAAAAGGCAAAACAGCUUUUUCAACAACAGAAUUUCAAUACGAACACAAGCUGAGAAGCAGAUUGAGUUCCAUCCUUGGCCGAUGUGGGUCAUGUGAUGAUGCCUCCUGAUGACGGCAGAUGAACGAUGCUCCUCACUUUGGGAAAGAUGGCUAAGUGUCCUUGAGACAACACUGGAUGCACGGUGAAAAUCAUGAAACCGGAUCAGCGCCUCGGACCCUUCUCACCCUGGUUACGGGUUGUUUGUUCCUCUUCCCUCUGGCACGAGGGUUCGGUCAAUUCAGACCGGAACCUCCCGUCACAGGUGCAGCGCUCCCUCCUCGGCCUGUUAUUAUUGUUUGUUCAUGUUCUUUAUGUUCAUGACUGCACUUUGCUAGUUGGUGGGAUCCUCACUGACCUUGGCAAUAAAGCUGAUGCUGAAA